CCUACGGGGGGCUGCAGUGAGGAAUAUUGGUCAAUGGGCGUAAGCCUGAACCAGCCAAGUCGCGUGAGGGAUGAAGGUUCUAUGGAUCGUAAACCUCUUUUAUAAGGGAAUAAAGUGCGGGACGUGUCCCGUUUUGUAUGUACCUUAUGAAUAAGGAUCGGCUAACUCCGUGCCAGCAGCCGCGGUAAUACGGAGGAUCCGAGCGUUAUCCGGAUUUAUUGGGUUUAAAGGGAGCGUAGGUGGAUUGUUAAGUCAGUUGUGAAAGUUUGCGGCUCAACCGUAAAAUUGCAGUUGAAACUGGCAGUCUUGAGUACAGUAGAGGUGGGCGGAAUUCCUGGUGUAGCGGUGAAAUGCGUAGAUAUCAGGAGGAACACCGGUGGCGAAGGCGGCCUGCUGGACUGCAACUGACGUUGAGGCCCGAAAGCGUGGGGAGCAAACAGGAUUAGAUACCCGAGUAGUC
rnacentral:rRNA from 1 species